CAGUAGCCGCGGGAAUACGUAGGGUGCGAGCGUUAAUCGGAAUUACUGGGCGUAAAGCGUGCGCAGGCGGCGAUCAAAGUCAGGCGUGAAAUUCCUGGGCUCAACCUGAGGGCUGCGCUUGAUACUUGGUUGCUUGAGUGGGGAAGAGGGAUGUGGAAUUCCCGGUGUAGCGGUGAAAUGCGUAGAGAUCGGGAGGAACAUCAGUGGCGAAGGCGGCCAUCUGGGACAACACUGACGCUGAGGCACGAAAGCGUGUGGAGCAAACAGGAUUAGAUACCCGCGUAGUCCCUGUCUCUUAUAC
rnacentral:rRNA from 1 species